rnacentral:lncRNA from 1 species
CUUCUUCCGAAGCAGGACGUUAAGUUGGAUAGGCAUAUUCCGGGGAGAAGGUAGCCGAGUCAUAUGAAAAACCAAUGUUUCCAAUUUUUGAGUAUCGUCCAUACUGAGUUGUCUCUGAGGACCCACCAGUUUGUAGUCCAACCAAUCAGAUGAAUAAAAUGAUAAGAAAUGGGUCUCUUACAAUCCGGAAGCAUCUCCGAUACUUGCUGUUCUUGGACUACUUCAUCAUUUCCUAUCAAAGGUUAAGACAUAAUUGUUUGAGCAUUGAAUAAAUGGAUAAGAAACACAAGUAAGAGAAAGAAACAAGAUUGAAAUGUCUACAUCCGAUGUUAUUUCUAAAGUUAUGUUUUAGAUCUGCUUUCAAGUGAGCUGCUUUAAAUAUAAAUAACACGCAAAGAUGGUGUAGAGCAACAGAGAAAACAGUGAUAGUCGUUUGCAAAUGGCUCCGAAGCAACUCCAGGAUAACGAAAUUUAAUGAUCUCCUCCUACAAUUUUAUAAGUAUAUGCUCAAGUACAUGAAACAAAUACUCAAGUCACAGAGAACAACUUCCAGUACAAGGAUUGAGUUAUAUCUAAAUGAGUGACUGUCAAAGGGAGUCCCAUAUGAACCCCCAAACAACCCAGACUGUUGCUGAAACAAUAGAUUAUUCUUCUCAAAGUAACAGCAAGGCACCAUUGCUGAAAACAACACCCACACAACCCAUUG